CGUACUCCUGUGUUCCUGCUACCAGUACUGUAGUAGGAUGUGCUGAUUGAGAAGUGGAACGUACUCUGUGUUCCUGCUACCAGUACUGUAGUAGGAUGUGCUGAUUGGAAGUGGAACGUGGAACGCUGACUGGAAGAACUACUGUACUAUAAACUUUUAUUUCAGUUCAUUUCUUUAUUUACAAUGGAUGUUCCAUCCGCCAUCCAACUAUCCUCCACUUGGUGUGUAAUUACUGAAGAAAAGCCACUUGACUUUCACACAUCACCUUGCAGUAAUAUUACACUAUAUACAUAAAAUAAACUCAAUCUCCCUGUUGUGCUCUGAUAUGAAAUGAAAGCAGUGGAUUUAACCAGACAAUGGUGGUAUACUAUCCCAGUAACUUGUAUUCAUUCCCUUCAUCUUAACCCGCAGCUAUAGACUUCUGUCAUACUGCACAGAGACAAAUGGUAUCAGUUCAGACUCUCUAACCUCACAAACUAUACAACGUUAACCCUAAUUUCAACCCUAUGCCUAUAGUUUUCACUGUUUAAAUAUAAAUUAAUUUCAUGUACAACACAGUUGACCAAUCAGAGAUCAAUAAAGCCUGUUUUUAUUGGUGAAUGUCAGAGGCAAAUGGAAUUCCACAACUAUGUAAACAGUGAUGGUCCAAACAGCACCAACUAUUAUUACAAUCAAUGUCUCACUUAAACAGUUGCUAAUCAAGUGUACAUUUAUAUUCUUAAAUAAACCUUUUCAGUGUAAAUGGACACUUUAUUUUAGACAGGACAAGUGGCCUUCAACUCCUCUCGCCUCCUGGAAAUGACGAGAAAGUGGAUAAAUGCGCUUGCAUGAAAUGACGACUCCUCUGCUCAGGCAAAUUACAUUACAGGUGUGAUCCCAAAAUAAGUGUAAAGUGAUAAAUGCAUGUUUUUGUCAGACAAAACAGCUGAUUCACAGGGGGUGUAGUAUAGUUGUAAACUCUUCAGAGAGGAGGAUACACAUGACUGUCCUCCAUGAAAGGUGGCUAUCGAGGAGGGGAGGAUAUUUUUCCAUUUUGCCCACAAACACAAUCCCUUUCCGGGCCAUGGAGGAUGGACUUGAGAAAUGGUGUGAUAGUCAGACAAACCCUGGCUUUCCAUUUCGCCCAAAAACACAAUCCCUUUCCGGGCCAUGGAGGAUGGACUGAGAAAUGGUGUGAUAGUCAGACAAACCCUGGCUUUCCAUUUGCCCACAAACCACAAUCCCUUUCCGGGCCAUGGAGGAUGGACUUGAGAAAUGGUGUGAUAGUCAGACAAACCCUGGCUUUCCAUUUUGCCCACAAACACAACCCUUUCCGGGCCAUGGAGGAUGGACUUGAGAAAUGGUGUUGAUAGUCAGACAAACCCUGGCUUUCCAU
rnacentral:lncRNA from 1 species